CGCGUGGUGGUUUAGUGGUUAGCACGUUUGCCUCACACGUCCUGGAUUGUGGGUUCAAAUCCCACCUCCGUUC